CCUUGAGUGACGAAGGAUUCAUUAUAUUGUGGUGCAUUUUAUAUUUCUUCGGCCAUUUUUUUUUUGUGUGUGGAGUCAGUUGUGUUGGUCACGUAAUCCGCCCACCCUAUUCACCUAGGUGGGCUGAUUACGUGUUGGACAUAGUACUAUCUGGGAGAGGUGGACAAUAAUAUGUCCAGGGAUAAAGUUUCACAAACUGGCUUAUUACAAACGUGGCAUCCAAUCACAGUACUACGCUAGCAUUCACAGAGCGCUUUAGAACGACUCAUUUUAUUCACAAAU